rnacentral:rRNA from 1 species
CAUGGGUGAUAAGGUCCGUGUUCGAAAGGGAAACAGCCCAGACCACCAGCUAAGGUCCCAAAAUAUAUGUUAAGUGGAAAAGGAUGUGGCGUUGCCCAGACAACUAGGAUGUUGGCUUAGAAGCAGCCAUCAUUUAAAGAGUGCGUAAUAGCUCACUAGUCGAGUGACACUGCGCCGAAAAUGUACCGGGGCUAAACAUAUUACCGAAGCUGUGGAUUGUCCUUUGGACAAUGGUAGGAGAGCGUUCUAAGGGCGUUGAAGCAUGAUCGUAAGGACAUGUGGAGCGCUUAGAAGUGAGAAUGCCGGUGUGAGUAGCGAAAGACGGGUGAGAAUCCCGUCCACCGAUUGACUAAGGUUUCCAGAGGAAGGCUCGUCCGCUCUGGGUUAGUCGGGUCCUAAGCUGAGGCCGACAGGCGUAGGCGAUGGAUAACAGGUUGAUAUUCCUGUACCACCUAUAAUCGUUUUAAUCGAUGGGGGGACGCAGUAGGAUAGGCGAAGCGUGCGAUUGGAUUGCACGUCUAAGCAGUAAGGCUGAGUAUUAGGCAAAUCCGGUACUCGUUAAGGCUGAGC